GAUGAAGAACGCAGCGAAAUGCGAUAAGUAAUGUGAAUUGCAGAAUUCAGUGAAUCAUCGAAUCUUUGAACGCACAUUGCGCCCGCUAGUAUUCUGGCGGGCAUGCCUGUCCGAGCGUCAUUUCAACCCUCAAGCCCCCGGGCUUGGUGUUGGGGAUCGGCGAGCCUCCGCGCCCGCCGUCCCCUAAAUCUAGUGGCGGUCUCGCUGUAGCUUCCUCUGCGUAGUAGCACACCUCGCACUGGGAAACAGCGCGGCCACGCCGUUAAACCCCCAACUUCUGAACGUUUGACCUCGGAUCAGGUAGGAAUACACGCUGAACUUAAGCAUAUCAAUAAGCGGAGGA
rnacentral:misc_RNA from 1 species